AGCUUUGCACAGUGGCAGUAUCGUAGCCAAUGAGGUUUAUCCGAGGCGCGAUUAUUGCUAAUUGAAAAUUUGAGGUUGCUCAAAUCUGUUAAAUGAAAUGGCAUAGUAUUUACAUGUAAACUAUGUACAUUUUCCUUUAAG
ensembl:snRNA U4 U4 spliceosomal RNA